rnacentral:sRNA from 1 species
AUGUACCCACGUACACUCCGGUUCCUCCGCGCCGGCCGCACCCACCUGACGACUGCUCGCUACGUUUUGUUAGCC